GGAGGUUAGGCUUGUUUCAUAAGGUAGUGCACUUCCUUAUUUCUAUCCAUCCAGCAAUUAAUGGAAUGAAAAUUUAUAUUAGGCUGACAUUGAAUUAACAUUAUCACCACAAGAAUAUUUCGCAGUUUUCCAUUUAGCAUUCUCUUUACUGAGAAAUAUUGGGCUUAAGUUUUUGGUCUAAUUAUGCCGGGUUUGCUCAAACAUUCUUUGGAGUAGUUCCUCUAGCAACAAAAAUUGCCCAUUAUCUCCUGUAACAUGGCAUCCUUUUAAAAUAAAUCUGUAGGGGAAUUAGGUCUAGUUUGGCCAAAUAACUGAGGAUAUGGGGACCUAAACUAUGAAGAGUUUUGUGGGUUUCUCCUGUAGUUCCAGUGUAUCUCUUAUAUUUCAUUAGUUUCUCUUUUGGUUACUGUUCAUAUGCAUUCUAUGGCGAAUCAGAAUUGAUGGGCCUUUCUGUGUAGUGCAGGCUGCUUAUAACAUUGA
rnacentral:misc_RNA from 1 species